rnacentral:rRNA from 1 species
GACGAACGCUGGCGGCGUGCUUAACACAUGCCAGUCGAACGGAAAGGCCCUGCUUUUGUGGGGUGCUCGAGUGGCGAACGGGUGAGUAACACGUGAGUGACCUGCCCUUGACUUUGGGAUAACUUCAGGAAACUGGGGCUAAUACCGGAUAGGAGCUCCUGCUGCAUGGUGGGGGUUGGAAAGUUUCGGCGGUUGGGGAUGGACUCGCGGCUUAUCAGCUUGUUGGUGGGGUAGUGGCUUACCAAGGCUUUGACGGGUAGCCGGCCUGAGAGGGUGACCGGCCACAUUGGGACUGAGAUACGGCCCAGACUCCUACGGGAGGCAGCAGUGGGGAAUAUUGCACAAUGGGCGGAAGCCUGAUGCAGCAACGCCGCGUGCGGGAUGACGGCCUUCGGGUUGUAAACCGCUUUCGCCUGUGACGAAGCGUGAGUGACGGUAAUGGGUAAAGAAGCACCGGCUAACUACGUG